UUUUCUCUUACAGCUCUCUCUACCCAG
rnacentral:piRNA from 1 species